UUUCCCAAAACACGGUGCAGUAUAAUGUGGACCUGAGCAAACAGCCCGCUCUGCUAGGGUUGAGGAGAAAUGUAAAAGCUUACAGCACCUGGUAUUCCCAGGCGGUCUCCCAUCCAAGUACUAACCUGGCCCGACCCUGCUUAGCUUCCGAGAUCAGACGAGAUCGGGCGUGCUCAGGGUGGUUUGGCCGUAAGCGAGAGCAGAGAUUGACAGGAGCUCUUUUAAGCUUGGCAAGCCACGCCGCUGCAUCCACUUGCCUGAAUGUGGCGUUUAUAAAGGACUUAGAACAUUUUGGGAGGUACACAGAAGGUGGCCAUUUUGGCCUUAAACACAAUAUCCCCUUUUUUGUAUUUCGCUCUCUCUUUAAACAAAACAAAUAGAGAGAAGCCAAAAUCAUUACUUGUAAUGUGUCACCGACCAUAGGCAUGAACUGUGAACAAAGCAAAAGCAGCACUGUGACUGAAAACAGAAAAUUCUUGCAGGUAAUAGCGUCUGUUGUCUAAGAACGAUGCAAUUAUAGAGUUAACAAAUAAUUGAACAAUAUAGGUAAAAUGUCAAAUACAUAAAACAGAAGUAAUAAAAACAAUAGCUAUUAAUUGCAGAAGAUAGGUCAUAAAUCAUAUAAUAACUGCAUAGAAUAAGAAAAAAAAAAAACACUUUUCCCAUAACACGGUGCAGUAUAAUGUAGACCUGAGCAAACAGCCCGCUCUGCUAAGGUUGAGGGGAAAUGUAAAAUCUUACAGCACCUGGUAUUCCCAGGCGGUCUCCCAUCCAUGUACUAACCAGGCCCGACUCUGCUUAGCUUCCGAGAUCAGACGAGAUCGGGCGUGCUCAGGGUGGUAUGGCCGUAAGCGAGAGCAGAGAGUGACAGGAGCUCUUUUAAGCUUGGCAAGCCACGCCGUUGCAUCCACUUGCCUGAAUGUGGCGUUUAUAAAGGACUUAGAACAUUUUGGGACGUACACAGAAGGUGGCCAUUUUGGCCUUAAACACAAUAUCCGCUUUUUUGUAUUUCGCUCUCUCUUUAAACAAAACAAAUAGAGAGAAGCCAAAAUCAUUACUUGUAAUGUGUCACCGACCAUAGGCAUGAACUGUGAACAAAGCAAAAGCAGCACUGUGACUGAAAACAGAAAAUUCUUGCAGGUAAUAGCGUCUGUUGUCUAAGAACGAUGCAAUUAUAGAGUUAACAAAUAAUUGAACAAUAAAGGUAAAAUGUCAAAUACA
rnacentral:lncRNA from 1 species